AGUUGUUGAUUGGGCACUUUGAUUUGGAUCCAAACCGAGUCUUUGAUAUUGUUUUGGAGUGUUUUGAACGUCAGCCUGGUAAAUAGUAUAUUUUUGGACUUGAUUCCCAUAUUUCCCAAGUCCCAUGCCUCCCAGAUUCUGGGGUUUAAGUUUCAAU